rnacentral:misc_RNA from 1 species
GCGAUAUUUGAAAGCACGUAACUGGAAUGUUUCCAAGGCUAAGAAAAUGUUGGAAGAUUCACUCAACUGGAGAUCAUCUUAUAAGCCAGAGGAUAUUCACUGGCAUGAAGUUGCGGUCGAAGGAGAAACUGGAAAAGUAUACAGAGCGAAUUUUCGGGAUCAAGAGGGAAGAACUGUUAUUGUGAUGAAACCAGCAAAACAGAACACGACAUCUCAUGAUAAUCAA